UCAUUCCUGGGGUGUGCGACAACUCCUGUGUUUUUGAACCUACAACUUUAAAAAGGGAUUCCUAUAUUGGUAAGUGGAUGUCAAGCCUCCUCCGAGUGGACGGCAGAAGCUUACUUGCGGUCACCCACCUAGCUUGAGCUAGGAGUCAAGAAGCAGGAAACGGCAUUCCGGGAAUCAA
rnacentral:other from 1 species